rnacentral:rRNA from 1 species
UACGUAGGGGGCAAGCGUUGUCCGGAUUUAUUGGGCGUAAAGGGCGCGUAGGCGGCCUGGCAAGUGGAAGGUGAAAUCCCUCGGCUUAACCGAGGAACUGCCCUCCAAACUGCUUGGCUUGAGUCCGGGAGAGGUGAGUGGAAUUCCCAGUGUAGCGGUGAAAUGCGUAGAUAUCGGGAGGAACACCUGUGGCGAAAGCGGCUCACUGGACCACAACUGACGCUGAGGCGCGAAAGCUAGGGGAGCAAACAGG